rnacentral:piRNA from 1 species
UGGUCAUGAUGUUUGUGCAGGAAUAAAAACCCUGACUAA